AUGGAAACACCUUUACCACAUUCCCCCAGUCUUACUGUCAUUCUCACAUUACUACAGAGUUAUUGUGUGGAUGUUACUUCUGGACCCAGUGUGACAGUGCUGUCCCCCUCCAGUGUGGAGCUGCAGCAGGAGAAGGUCACACUCGUGUGUGUGGCCCACAAGGGCUUCCCCUCCGACUGGAAGUUGAGCUGGAAGGUUGACGGCAGCAGCUGGAGCUCGGGGACAAGCCACAGCGCCGCUAUUCUGAACGCGGACGGCCUCUACAGCUGGAGCAGCACGCUGAGCCUCCACCCGGAUCAGUGGAGGAACAAGGUGGUGACCUGUGAGGCCUCCAAAGACAACCAACCUACUGUGGUGAGCACAGUGAACACAGAGCAGUGCUCAGAGCUGUGAGCUCACACACACUUUACU